CUCGCCUGUUUAUCAAAAACAUCGCCUCUUGCAUAAUCCAAUGAAUAAGAGGUCCUGCCUGCCCCGUGACCAUGAGUUUAACGGCCGCGGUAUUUUGACCGUGCAAAGGUAGCGCAAUCACUUGUCCUUUAAAUGAAGACCCGUAUGAACGGCAAGACGAGGGCUUGACUGUCUCCUUUUUCAAGUCAAUGAAAUUGAUCCUCCCGUGCAGAAGCGGGAAUCCUCCCAUAAGACGAGAAGACCCUGUGGAGCUUCAGACACUAAGACAGACCACGUCAAAAUCCCCUAACAAAGGACUGAACUAAGUGAAUCCUGUACUAAUGUCUUCGGUUGGGGCGACCGCGGGGAAAA
rnacentral:rRNA from 1 species